CAGGUAAAACCAAGGAACUCAUUAGACAGUUGAAAAUCACCCAAUGGUACAGAUUGUUCUUCUCAGAGCACAAGACCUUCAUGAACAGGCACAGAAACAAAGUGAAACCGUUUUUCUCUGCCCUAUUACUGUGCAGCUAUCCCAAGCAAUCUUGUAUAACUCUGUUUUAGAAAGACAUGUGGUAACCUAAGUUUCAUAAUUCUUCAUAUCAGACAGAUGUGAGAUAACAUAUUUAAAAGCUGUGAAUAGACAAAAGUUCCAUCAAUUUGAGGUGUAUGGGUUUUGCUUUCAGACACCUAAAAGGUCUGAAAAAACAUUUAGGAGUCCAGUGUGUGUCCUAGGUAUCUAAACUGUAUACGCAACCUACAAAUCCUAAUUCCCUAAUUAAACAGAAGAACCACAGGCACUUUUUUCCACCAGUGAAGGUGGUACUUAGUCACCUAGAAUAUUGCUUAUUUUUUAUGAUUAGUAUUGCUAAUUGACAGCAGUUUGUGCACAUCUGAAUUUCCCAAAGUAGAUUAUCCCACAUGCAGGUUUUAUGAGUGUUGUGCAUGAGAAAACCUGCACGUGUAUUCAUGUGCAAGUUUUCUAACUGCAGGGCUAGGCUAAAAGCAUAGCUCCUGCAUACUUACAGCUCACCCGUGGCAUCUCCAGCCACCUUAACCGAAAACAUUCAAUUGAUGAAGCUGGUUCCAUGAAUCUUUAGAACAGUAAAUCUUUGGGUCAAAACACUCAUUCAGGAGUGGCAGCCUGAGGUGCAGAAAUGCUCUAGAUAUAUUGCAGAUUUCCCAUGAAAACCAGAAUUUAUGGUGCCACUAUUUGCCAAAAUGCAGAUUAAUUUUCUUUUAAACUCACUAAAACUAUCAGGGAAUGUAGUCAAUAGCAGUAAGUUAUUUAUGGAUGUUUUCAGGAUACAUAGUGUACCCCUGAGCCUAGAAGUCCCACUCGUUACACAAAUGUUCUCACUACUAAGCUAUUACAAAAAAGUGGCAUACUUGGACCUUUUAAAAGAAUAGAUUAACCAGGCUCCCACACCAAAUGGAAAAGUUAUGAUGUCAAGGAUGUGUGUGAGACUGUUACCCAUGUUUUCAUAAAAGCACCUGGUGUAUUGUUGUAGGCAGUGCCUAAAUCUAGAAGCAGAGUGGCUCUUUCUCCAUCACUGCUCUUGUUUGCUGGUGUAUAUGUCGUCUUCUAUGUACUGUCUUCUGUGCAUGCUGUUAUCAAUAGCGUAACUCACAGCACAGUGGUUUUGCCAUAUUCUGCAAUUAAAGACUUCAGUGCCUGAUUCCACUCAAUUAAGGUGCUUCAAAUACUGGUAAGCAUGCUACUCUGGACUACGGAGGCCUAUUAACUGUACUGAGAGUCUGACUGCAGGAUGGUACUGAGUGAAAUCUUUCUCCUUAAACGUAUACAUCGAUAGGAAGGCAGCAGCUGGAAUAUUUUUAAAUAAAUACUUUUAAAGAAAUACAGGCUCUUUUAUCCUUGGGAAAAAGGAAAGUGCUUGUGUGAGCGGACAAAACACAGGAAAUUGAAUUGUUAUGGGGAUUAUCAAACUUGCAUUAUGAGCCUGCUUUCCCUACAGAAGGCCAGAGUGCAAUCAAACCGUAAGACACCAGCCUUUGCAGGCAUUUGCCAAACAUUUCCGAAGGGACUGCAGCACAGCCACAUCUACAUAAAAGCGAACAUUGCUUUUCUGCUUCUGCUGUCAUCAACAGUUAUCUUCCAACGCAGACUCCAUGUCCAAGCUAACAAGGUCCUUGUGACAAUUCGGCAUGUGCCGCAUCUUCUCUAAGACGGGCUACUUCACCUAUGUUGUGACCCUGGUAGCAAAAAAGAGAUGAUUUGAAGUAAAAUAUUAUGCCAUAUGAUCUCAAGAAGAAAGAUCUGAGACUGAAAAUUUAUGAUGUAUUUCUACUUCCUAUUGCACAUGUAGAUCCAAAAUGCAUUUUCAGACUACGGACUGUUCUCUGAUGCAACAAAAUCUGAUUUUACAGACCUGAAUGAAGCCAUCAGAUAUUGUUACAUAUUAGGAUAUGUGCAGAGCAUGGAAAUAUACUAUUUGUAGUUCAGAAUAA